GAUGAACGCAGGCGGCGUGCCUAAUACAUGCAAGUCGAGCGAAUGGAUUAAGAGCUUGCUCUUAUGAAGUUAGCGGCGGACGGGUGAGUAACACGUGGGUAACCUGCCCAUAAGACUGGGAUAACUCCGGGAAACCGGGGCUAAUACCGGAUAACAUUUUGAACCGCAUGGUUCGAAAUUGAAAGGCGGCUUCGGCUGUCACUUAUGGAUGGCCCCGCGUCGCAUUAGCUAGUUGGUGAGGUAACGGCUCACCAAGGCAACGAUGCGUAGCCGACCUGAGAGGGUGAUCGGCCACACUGGGACUGAGACACGGCCCAGACUCCUACGGGAGGCAGCAGUAGGGAAUCUUCCGCAAUGGACGAAAGUCUGACGGAGCAACGCCGCGUGAGUGAUGAAGGCUUUCGGGUCGUAAAACUCUGUUGUUAGGGAAGAACAAGUGCUAGUUGAAUAAGCUGGCACCUUGACGGUACCUAACCAGAAAGCCACGGCUAACUACGUGCCAGCCGCCGCCGUAA
rnacentral:rRNA from 1 species